CUGGCCCCUACAUGUCUGUUGCAAAUAUAUUUGUUGUCAACAAGCUGCUUUUCCUCGCUCACCGGUGUUUUCUGAUAAUCAAGGUCACGGGGAGGAUUGUUAUACUCAUUAAGCUUUGUAUGGAUAAUGGACUCUAAUUCAGGGAAAUCUGACAAAGCAAGCUCAAGGCCAUCUUCUUCCGCCUGUUCCAUGCAUUUUGAACCACUGGGAUCCAGGGACCCAGAGGAGGAAGCAAUGCCUAUGUCUGCGCUGGGAUCUGUGACUCCCUUUGGUUUGCUGUUCGGCGUUGUUCUUUUGUCCAGACAGACAUCAUGUCCCAGGUCAGCCAAUAUCCUUUGAACCUCGUCGUUUGGGAUCUUCUUCGAAUGUUUUGGCUUGCCAACCUCGCCCUCCAUGAGUCUUUUGACAGUUGGUUUCGUAGUGCUGCAUUCCUCCGUGUUCUGAGAAAUACAGGACCAAAACAUCAGUUGUCUCCAGGAAACAAGUUUCGACAUGCAGCGUAAAUAUUACAACAAUAGAAAAGCUUGAACAGAGUCUGUACUGCAUCAAGAGGACUGAAUGAUGGUAGUUCAGUACAAGCCCAUACACAAGAAGCAGUACCAGCAAAGCCACUGAAGGAGUGCCUUCUGCUCCCUUGCUUCCUGUCGAGGAUAAGCUUGGGGUCGCGGCGGGAGUAGAACAUGCGGAUGAGGCCCCAGGUGCACCCAACAUUGUUCUCUUGGAUUUGUGAAGCCCGUCUGUGGCUCGUCUUCCCCAUUCUCUCGGUGGUUUUCUUCUACCUGCACUCUGAAGGUGAAGUACCUGGCAGAAGUAUGAGUUGUUCAGUUCAUGGUGCUAAUCCUCAGCAAACGUGAAGUACCCGGCAGCAAGCAAACGUGGUUGCAGAAAAUGCAUGUGUCUACUCUGCAGUUAAAUCAACUAAUCACAGAAGAAACGGAGCUGGGGAUGCAAAGCCACCGCAGAGACAACUUGUAUCAUUAUGGUUAGAAAACAAGAGGGAAACCCAGCCAGCAAUAUUACAAGGCAAGAGUAUAACAAGAAAGAAUUGCUCACUGACAAUCGCGACGGCGCAGCAGGGAAGAAGAUGAAGAACCGCCCGUAGCUCCGAGCCGAUGAGGAGGAGAUCAGCACACACAGAGGACUAGAUAGAGGAGUGCAAGGGAAGCAACCAACCAUGAGAGGUCCUUCAGGGCAUGUCUCUGGCCAUGUCAAGGGAUGCCAUGACCAGCUGGCUGCCCUGAGCUGCGGAGCAGGCGGCGGCGGCAACGGCGGUGGAAGGAAGGAAGGAAUCAGAAGAAGAAGCCUUUUCUUGCUUGCUCGCACUGGCCAGUCAGUGGCACGCCAUCUUUUCAAUCUUCUUCCCCUCUUUGUGCUUUGUGGAGCUAGCGUGGAGGGGCAUGCAGCAGCACAGCUAUGGCGACGGACAGGUGUAGCAGCAGCAGCGGCACAUGCCAUGGACAAGCAUCAAGGUGACCACACACGCACAAGCAGCAGGCAGGCACCAGGCACGCAUGCUUUUCCCCCACCCCUCUGCUCUGCAGGGAAAAGUGGCAGGAUCAGAGCGGUUGAUAAUUGUCCUUGAAGCAUAUUUAUUCCUGUAGCAAUGAUCCAGCCUUGUGGUAAAAGCAUCGUACCAUCAAUUUGUUUAUUUUGUGAUUUGUUGGGGGGCACAUUUUUCUGCCAAUUCAGCGCGACGGUCGGGCCAGACUAGUUAACGGCAUCAUCAAAACAGUUAGCAUUUUGGAUCGGUGUUUUUGCCACUGUGAAAUCUUCAAGUCGGUGUGAAAUGUCGCGUUUUGUAAAGUGGUGGUUUUUCGCAAGUCGUGCCGUAAAAGUGAUGGUUCUGUGCA